rnacentral:rRNA from 1 species
CGGAGGGAGCUAGCGUUGUUCGGAAUUACUGGGCGUAAAGCGCACGUAGGCGGCGAUUUAAGUCAGAGGUGAAAGCCCGGGGCUCAACCCCGGAACUGCCUUUGAGACUGGAUUGCUAGAAUCUUGGAGAGGCGAGUGGAAUUCCGAGUGUAGAGGUGAAAUUCGUAGAUAUUCGGAAGAACACCAGUGGCGAAGGCGGCUCGCUGGACAAGUAUUGACGCUGAGGUGCGAAAGCGUGGGGAGCAAACAGGAUU